rnacentral:rRNA from 1 species
GACGAACGCUGGCGGCGUGCUUAACACAUGCAAGUCGAACGAUGAACCCGGAGCUUGCUCCGGUGGAUUAGUGGCGGACGGGUGAGUAACACGCGAGUAACCUGCCCUUGACUCUGGGAUAACUGCGGGAAACUGUAGCUAAUACCGGAUACGACCCUCGGCGGCAUCGCCAGGGGGUGGAAAGAAUUUCGGUCAAGGAUGGACUCGCGGCCUAUCAGCUAGUUGGUGAGGUAACGGCGCACCAAGGCGACGACGGGUAGCCGGCCUGAGAGGGUGACCGGCCACACUGGGACUGAGACACGGCCCAGACUCCUACGGGAGGCAGCAGUGGGGAAUAUUGCACAAUGGGCGCAAGCCUGAUGCAGCAACGCCGCGUGAGGGAUGACGGCCUUCGGGUUGUAAACCUCUUUUAGUAGGGAAGAAGCGAAAGUGACGGUACCUGCAGAAAAAGCACCGGCUAACUACGUGCCAGCAGCCGCAGUAA